GAGUUUGAUCCUGGCUCAGGAUAAACGCAGGCGGCGCACAUAAGACAUGCAAGUCGAACGAACUUAACCGUUUGUUUACAUUGGGAGCGGUUAGUGGCGGACUGGUGAGUAACACGUAAGCAACCUGCCUAUUAGAGGGGAAUAACAGUGAGAAAUCAUUGCUAAUACAAAAUAUGCUCACAGUAUCACAUGAUACAGUGAGGAAAGGAGCAAUCCGCUAAUAGAUGGGCUUGCGUCUGAUUAGCUAGUUGGUGGGGUAACGGCUUACCAAGGCGACGAUCAGUAGCCGGAUUGAGAGGUUGAACGUCCCCAUUGGGACUGAGAUACGGCCCAGACUCUUACGGGAGUCAGCAGUC
rnacentral:rRNA from 1 species